ensembl:lncRNA
GAAAGAAUCAAAUUUGGUGAAGCAAUGACAGGUGUCCAUCCAGCCUUCUCUUGAACCUUAUCAAAUCUUUGCAACCACAGUGUCCUUUGGCAAGGAGUUCUGUAGCUUUAUUUUACACUGAAUGAAGAACUAGCUGGCUUUCUUUGCUCUGAACUUACACCCAUUUGGAAGACUUGAGGAUGUAUCCUAUCCCUUCUGAUGUCCGUACCUGGUUCUCAGAAGAGAGGAAGAACUACAUCUCCCAGAAGACUUUCGCUGUGUGGUUUCUGUUUUCUGUUCAGAGAGAAAGAUAAAACUGCCCGGGACUCAUGAGGCUGUCCUUCUUUUGCUGCUUGUCUCUGCAGUGUGUGCUCCCCAGCCGUUUCGCCUUCAACGUUAGAGCCUAUCUCCCUACCUUUUUCCCUUCCCCCCUCUCCCCUCUCCCGGGGAGUGGACUGGUGGGUCCCUCUGCCACAUUCAUCAUGGAAUCAUGCCAAACUAGCCCAAAACUGUUUGAAACUGGAG